rnacentral:rRNA from 1 species
GGGUGAGUAACGCGUGGGCAACCUGGCCUGUACAGGGGGAUAACACUUAGAAAUAGGUGCUAAUACCGCAUAACGGGGGAAGCCGCAUGGCUUUUCCCUGAAAACUCCGGUGGUACAGGAUGGGCCCGCGUCUGAUUAGCCAGUUGGCAGGGUAACGGCCUACCAAAGCGACGAUCAGUAGCCGGCCUGAGAGGGCGGACGGCCACACUGGGACUGAGACACGGCCCAGACUCCUACGGAAGGCAGCAG